rnacentral:rRNA from 1 species
UGAACGCUAGCGGCAGGCUUAACACAUGCAAGUCGAGGGGCAUCGAGAGUAGCAAUACUCGUCGGCGACCGGCGCAAGGGUGCGUAACACGUGAGCAACAUACCCGUUUCAGGAGGAUAACCGGAGGAAACUCUGCCUAAUACUCUAUAAUAUCAUCAGACGGCAUCGUUUAAUGAUUAAAGAUUCAUCGGAAACGGCUUGGCUCGCGGGACAUUAGCUUGUUGGUGAGGUAACGGCUCACCAAGGCUACGAUGUCUAGGGGUUCUGAGAGGAAGGUCCCCCACACUGGAACUGAGACACGGUCCAGACUCCUACGGGAGGCAGCAGUGAGGAAUAUUGGACAAUGGUCGGAAGACUGAUCCAGCCAUGCCGCGUGAAGGUUACUGUCCUAUGGAUAUUAAACUUCUUUUGUAUGAGAGCAAUAAGGUGCACGUGUGCACCGAUGAGAGUAUCAUACGAAUAAGCAUCGGCUAACUCCGUG